GUUCCUUGUGCGGCGGGCAGGGAACCUGCCGCGCUCGGCCAGGCCGUGUGCCCGUCGCCAGCCUGCGCGCUGCCUCCGGCCAAGCACUUCCCUGGGUGCCAUUCAGAGACUGUAACGGGGCCUUGAAGGUUAAGCAAGAAAGCACAAAGAAUCACAGUGAAGAAAGAUUUAGAAAGAAAAACACUAGCAAAGAGAGGGUGGGAGACUGCCUCUAAUUUUUACAGGUCAGAGAGAUGCUGACGCUGUGGGUAAGAAUUUGCUUUCAGAAGCUUGCAAAAAACAAAUGCAGAAGGAGAAAUAAAAAUGCAUGAGUCUUAGAUCAGGAUUAUAUUCUGUCAGAAAAGGAUGGUAAAAGUUCUUGAUCAUUUCACUAGUAUCAAUUGUAUAGGAUACUACAUUGUGCAAUAUUCGUCCGCAUUAAAGUAUGUUCUUGCAAACAAGUAAGGAGCAGAUGGAAAGAACAAAAAGGAAAAGUAAAACUGAUAAGGGAUUUAGUCUUCCCCAAACUGAGUGGUAAUUUCAGACAGUCCCCUUCAUAUGUUCUUAAAAGUGACAAUCCAAACAACUGGGGUUUCGAAUAAGGAGUUAGGGGGCGCAAAGAGCGAGAGGAGUAGGAUAGAUAGGAAGCUGGAGCAUUAACCGUGAUGCAGAAUACAAGCUUUCGUGGCAGAACAAGAGGGUCAGUGGGAGGCUGUGUCCAUGGGUGAUUUUGCACCACCCUUUAAGUACAGGGCCCUGCGCCUGUCACCUUGAAGCAGAAGAAAGUUCAUGAAUACCACAAGGCUAGAAAAAGUCAUCAGCCCUCAUUUUCUUGAUUAAAAUUGAAGUUUUGAUUUAAAUUUUUUUGUCUAGGGAAAAAAUCUUUCUCUUCUGCCACUGAAAAUUUACCUAACUGAAAUGGAGAGGGAUGGGGGAAGAGCUGUUUUUGGACUUCCUUCCCAUUUUUGUUCUAUUUCCUCUCUGGAACGUUUUAAGAGGACAUGUAACGAAACAAAAAACUUGGUUAAAAAGGGUGCAGUUCAGGCGUCCAAGCCGGCAGCGUGGUGGCGUGCUUUGAAGGUGGCUGUAGUUACGCAGGCGUUUGUCCCUCGCUGCUGUUUUCCCCCAAGCAUGCAGCUGUGCACUUCAGCUACAAUUAUUCUUGCCAAUUUUGGUAAUGACACUAAUCUCUUUAGUUUUUGG
rnacentral:lncRNA from 1 species